rnacentral:rRNA from 1 species
AUUGAACGCUGGCGGCAUGCUUUACACAUGCCAGUCGAACGGCAGCGCGGGCUUCGGCCUGGCGGCGAGUGGCGAACGGGUGAGUAAUGCAUCGGAACGUGCCCAGUAGUGGGGGAUAGCCCGGCGAAAGCCGGCUUAAUACCGCAUACGACCUGAGGGUGAAAGCGGGGGACCGAAAGGCCUCGCGCUAUUUGCGCGGCCGAUGUCGGAUUAGCUAGUUGGUGGGGUAAAGGCUUACCAAGGCGACGAUCCGUAGCUGGUCUGAGAGGACGACCAGCCACACUGGGACUGAGACACGGCCCAGACUCCUACGGGAGGCAGCAGUGGGGAAUUUUGGACAAUGGGGGCAACCCUGAUCCAGCCAUGCCGCGUGCGGGAAAAAGGCCUUCGGGUUGUAAACCGCUUUUGUUCGGGAAGAAAUCCUCUGGGCUAAUACCCCGGGGGGAUGACGGUACCGGAAGAAUAAGCACCGGCUAACUACGUG